AACUUGCAAAUUGCUAGCAUUCUCUCUGCAAGACAAGAGAUGCUGUCUGUGCCCUGACCCCUGACUCCACACCCCAGCUUGUUCUGCCCCUUUCUGAUUGUUCUAAGUAACUGACAUACUUAGAACAGUUUAGGGCCACGUCGUGGCCUUUCGAGGCCGGCGUGCUGUGAUAUUUUCCUACAGAGCGCGGUCACUUCCAGAGGCGAGAGAGGCACAGAAUUCUAUUCUGAGAAUCCCUGGGACACACGCAGCGGUGGCUGUGAGUAUGAGGGCAGAUGCUGCGGAACAGCCUGGAAAGGAUGCGGGGUCCGUGGCCCCUGGCAGUGCCCGGAGCUGAGCAGCCACCUUCCUGGAGGAGAAGCCCUGCGCCAGAUGCCUGAGAAUGACACACGCAG
rnacentral:lncRNA from 1 species